GGAGAGAUGCCAGAGUGGUUGAAUGGGACGGUCUCGAAAACCGUUGUAGGUCUAUGGCCUACCGUGAGUUCGAAUCUCACUCUCUCCG
rnacentral:tRNA from 1 species